GCCGGGCAUGUUAGCACAUGCCUGUAAUCUCAGCUACUUGGGAGGCUGAGGCAGAAGAAUCACUUGAACCUGGGAGGCGGAGGGUGUAGUGAGCCGAAAUUGUGCCACUGCACUCAAGCCUGGGUGACAGAGUGAGACUCUGUCUCAA
ensembl:misc_RNA Metazoa_SRP Metazoan signal recognition particle RNA